UCCCGGCUCGGGGAGGUAGUGACGAAAAAUAACAAUGCGAGACUCAUCCGAGGCUUCGCAAUUGGAAUGGGAACACUUCAAAUCCUUUAUCGAGGAUCUAUUGGAGGGCAAGUCUAGUGCCAGCAGCCGCGGUAAUUCCAGCUCCAAUAGCGUAUAUUAAAGUUGCUGCGGUUAAAAAGCUCGUAGUUGGAUCUCAGUCUUGAUCGGACGGUUCAUUUCACGAUGAUACAGUUCGAAUCGGACAAUUGGCCGCCUUUCUCCGUAUGCUCUUGAUUGAAGUGUGCGGAGGAAGUGGCACGUUCACUUUGAAAAAAUUAGAGUGCUCAAAGCAGGCCUUAGCCUGAAUCUUCGUGCAUGGAAUGAUGGAAUAGGGCCUCGGUUCUAUUUUGUUGGUUUCCGGAACUCGAGGUAAUGAUUAAGAGGGACGGACGGGGGCAUUCGUAUUGCGACGUUAGAGGUGAAAUUCUUAGAUCGUCGCAAGACGAACUACUGCGAAAGCAUUUGCCAAGAAUGUUUUCAUUAAUCAAGAACGAAAGUCAGAGGUUCGAAGGCGAUCAGAUACCGCCCUAGUUCUGACCAUAAACGAUGCCAACUGGCGAUCCGUCGGUGUUAAUCCAAAUGACCCGACGGGCAGUCUCCGGGAAACCAAAGUUUUCGUGUUCCGGGGGAAGUAUGGUUGCAAAACUGGAACUUAAAGGAAUUGACGGAAGGGCACCACCAGGAGUGGAGCCUGUGGCUUAAUUUGACUCAACACGGGAAAUCUCACCAGGCCCGGACACCGGCAGGAUUGACAGAUUGAGAGCUCUUUCUUGAUUCGGUGGGUGGUGGUGCAUGGCCGUUCUUAGUUGGUGGAGCGAUUUGUCUGGUUAAUUCCGAUAACGAACGAGACCCCGUCCUACUCACUAGACUGAGGAUCAUUUCCGUCCUCACCGUCUUCUUAGAGGGACAACUGGAAUCGAUCUAGCUACAUGAAAUGGGGCAU
rnacentral:rRNA from 1 species